CCCAAUCUGACUAAUGCGUCGCUACAACGUUCCGUCAGUGACGAGACCACCGGCGCCCACCAGGAUCUCCGCCGCUGCAUCUUGGUAACGAUCGCGUGAGAAAGCACCGCAGGUGGGCGGCUGCAUCUGAGGCUGAGGAAUUUGGUUUGGGGUGAGCGGGGGAUGGCUCGAGCCUAGAAGGGAUCUGAUGCGCCACUGCAGACAUACGAACACAGGAGGGGGUCCAGAUUUGCCGUUUGCCAGAUUCGCGCUCGUGCCGUAGGUUGCCGGCGAAGUACCUCAGCCUGUUCAGGCAUCUUUCGUACAUUGAGCAAUAAUGGCGAACUCGAGUGGAUGAUGGAAGGCCUCAGUUUGGGGCCAAGAAAAGGUGUGGACGAGGCCAUUUCUGCAAGGCCGCCUGUAAAUUGUUGGAUGCAACAUCAAUGUAGCUCUGAUCCAGAACCUGGUUCUUGGAUGCAACACGCAUUGUCCUGGACAGAUCAGGAUCUAAUGUUGUUGAGGUGGCUGCUGUUGUGACCAUGAUCAGAAGAAGCCUGGAGAUGUGCACAAUAGUUUUAGUUGAUGUUGCCACCAUGUUUUGGUGCAUGUGUAUUUCUUUUUGAUUGUAAGCACACUUGAUGGAUCGUGCAGACGUGUAUGUGCUGUUGUGAGUUUCAUUGAGUGAUUUCUGGAUUUGAUCAUUUAAUUGUGAGAAUUAUUGAUUGUUUGCUGUUGAAAUGUGUAAAAGAAAUCUGUGAAUGAAAAGGCUGAAUGUUCUAUUGGAUC